rnacentral:rRNA from 1 species
CCCUUAGAUGUUCUGGGCCGCACGCGCGCUACACUGACAGAGCCAACGAGUUCUUCACCUUGGCCGGAAGGUCUGGGUAAUCUUGUUAAACUCUGUCGUGCUGGGGAUAGAGCAUUGCAAUUAUUGCUCUUCAACGAGGAAUGCCUAGUAAGCGCGUGUCAUCAGCACGCGUUGAUUACGUCCCUGCCCUUUGUACACACCGCCCGUCGCUACUACCGAUUGAAUGGCUCAGUGAGGCCUUCGGACUGGCCCAGGGAGGUUGGCAACGACCACCCCGAGCCGGAAAGUUCGUCAAACUCGGUCAUUUAGAGGAAGUAAAAGUCGUAACA